UUAACUGCAAUUAAGUGAUGUGUUUCCUGUGUAGUUGCUGGAAGUUAAGCAUACCAAAGUGUUCAUUUUUUAUGUAACGGGUAUUCUUGUAAGCUAUGCAAGAUGCCAAUUCUGAACAGUCAUAGACUGCCAUGUUAAGUGACUUUGGCAUUCCACCAUGUGCAUUGAGAGCUCUUGUUUGUGGAACUUGGAACACAAAAGAUACUAACCUGGAGGAAGGUUACCAAUAUUGUGAAUUCCUAGAAUCAAAACACAUUAUCUCAUUCUCUUACCCGUUGCCCAGUUAUGAGAAUCAGUUUUGAUCUGGUAGACACAUCAUGUUCCACUUCGUUUUGUUACAAGCGAUUAACCAUCACCAGCCAACACACAUAGACAUGGACAUCAGACCAAUCACUUGGAGUGCCAAGCCUUUGAGUUCUUCAGCAAAAUUGGCGGCUUUACAAUUUUUUCAGUCUUCGGACAACAUUCAUAA